GGAGUCUUAGUAUCUCUGAGAUAAUUGAGGCCUUUGAGAAAUACAAAAGAAGAGCUGAAGAGCAAAGAAACAAGCAGAAGAAAAGAGAACUCCCCAUUCCCCCAGUCAAAGAGUUACAACCCUGCAGGACCUUUUCACAGGAAAGCAGCAGCUCUCUCUCAAUUUGUCUUCAGAGGUUCUGUGGAACACUGGGAAGCAGAGAAGGGCAAGAACUGAAUGAAGGUGGAUCACAGACUGGGGCACUGUCAGUGAAUUACAUGUGAUGUGGUGGCUCUUGGCGAAUCAGAUGCUUAAGUGAUCCCAGUUCCAGCCAAUAACUACACCGCCAUUCUGCUGUGCCGGUCCUCACGACAAGUGAUCAGCUGACUAGAAUUCCCUAUUAUGUUAAACAAAACAAAACAAUAAACCAAAACUAUGUGUCUAG
rnacentral:lncRNA from 1 species